rnacentral:tRNA from 1 species
CCGGACGUGGCGCGGAGGCAGGCGCCUCGCCUUGCUCCGGCGCAUGACGCCGGUUGGAAUCCGGUCGUCCGGA